ACAGCAGCAGCCGCGGUAAUACGUAGGGUGCAAGCGUUACUCGGAAUUACUGGGCGUAAAGCGUGUGUAGGUGGUUGUUUAAGUCUGUCGUGAAAGCCCUGGGCUCAACCUGGGAAUUGCGAUGGAUACUGGGCGACUAGAGUGCGGUAGAGGAUAGUGGAAUUUCCGGUGUAGCAGUGAAAUGCGUAGAGAUCGGAAGGAACAUCUGUGGCGAAGGCGACUAUCUGGGCCAACACUGACACUGAGGCACGAAAGCGUGGGGAGCAAACAGGAUUAGAUACCCCUGUAGUCCCUGUCUCUUAUAC
rnacentral:rRNA from 1 species